rnacentral:lncRNA from 1 species
CUGGAAGUCCCUCUAAGACCAAACUUACGUGGCUACUCAGCAUCGACCUCAAGGGGUGGCUGCCCAAGAGCAUCAUCAACCAGGUCCUGUCCCAGACCCAGGUGGAUUUUGCCAACCACCUGCGCAAGCGCCUGGAGUCCCACCCUGCCUCUGAAGCCAGGUGUUGAAGACCAGCCUGCUGUUCCCAACUGUGCCCAGCUGCACUGGUACACACGCUCAUCAGGAGAAUCCCUACUGGAAGCCUGCAAGUCUAAGAUCUCCAUCUGGUGACAGUGGGAUGGGUGGGGUUCGUGUUUAGAGUAUGACACUAGGAUUCAGAUUGGUGAAAGUUUUUAGUACCAAGAAAACAGGGAUGAGGCUCUUGGAUUAAAAGGUAACUUCAUUCACUGAUUAGCUAUGACAUGAGGGUUCAGGCCCCUAAAAUAAUUGUAAAACUUUUUUUCUGGGCCCUUAUGUACCCACCUAAAACCAUCUUUAAAAUGCUAGUGGCUGAUAUGGGUGUGGGGGAUGCUAACCACAGGGCCUGAGAAGUCUUGCUUUAUGGGCUCAAGAAUGCCAUGCGCUGGCAGUACAUGUGCACAAAGCAGAAUCUCAGAGGGUCUCCUGCAGCCCUCUGCUCCUCCCGGCCGCUGCACAGCAACACCACAGAACAAGCAGCACCCCACAGUGGGUGCCUUCCAGAAAUAUAGUCCAAGCUUUCUCUGUGGAAAAAGACAAAACUCAUUAGUAGACAUGUUUCCCUAUUGCUUUCAUAGGCACCAGUCAGAAUAAAGAAUCAUAA